rnacentral:misc_RNA from 1 species
AAGUUUUAGGAAGGAUUGUUUUUGUGUUUGUUCUUUUAUCAAACUAAACAUUCCUUCCGUUUCAUUUUAUGUAAAAGUGUUUAACUAGACAUCGACUUCAAGAGAGUAAGAAAAAAGGCAAAUUUCGAUAUUAAAGAAAGGUUUAGAAAUCGCGGUUUUAAACAUUUCUACAUGUUGGUUUAGUCUCUUGAAAGUGUCAAUUCUGCAUUUUCUUCUAUGUUAACUAGCUCUGGAACCACCCUAUCAGCUGCCUUAUUUGCCUCUUUUUCCCAGUUUGUCUGCAGAGUAACUACAAAAAGAAGUAGUGCUUGUGCAAAAAGGGCAAGUGUAAUACCCAACCAUAGUCCCUUUCCACCUAUAUGGUAGACGAAAGCUAAUAUAACACCAGCAGGUAUUCCGAAAAGGUAAUAAGCUCCCAAGUUAACAACUGCUCCAAUCUUUUGCCAUCCGCACCCUCGCGCAGUACCUGAAAGUACAGAUUGAAUACCAUCUAAGAAGUGGGAACCUGCUAGCAAGACUAGCAUUUCUGCUACAUAUUCGACUACUUCUUCCUCGGUGCUGUAACAGUAGCCCCACAGUUUACGAACAGAAAUCAACACAAUUGCUGCAACAACCCCUUCUGUAGCCACUAACAAUACUGCAGCACAAGCUGCUAAACGAGCUGCUUGAGGUCGUCCUGCUCCUAGUUCAUUCGAAACUCUUACACUGAGGAGGAAGCCAAUUAAGUAUACAAACCAUAUAAAGGAAAAACGCAACAGAAGGUGAUCUUAAAAUGCUAAGAGAUUCACCUCGUGGCACCGCUUAGUCCUAAGGAAUCAUAUACACCAUAGCACAUGUAUUAAGGCUGAAACAUUUCAAAAUUAUCAACCCUUUGAUACACUAAGAGAUUAGUAGUUAGUGUGACAUAAGAAGAACUGCAACCUGAUAGAAAGAACCGACGUCUCUAGCUUUGGAUUCGGAAGAAGUCCAGACAACA